GGUUUUAUUUUUUUAAAAGUAAUAAGUUUUUUUUUUUAGCUCAGGACGAACGCUGGCGGCGUGCCUAAUACAUGCAAGUCGAGCGGACAGAUGGGAGCUUGCUCCCUGAUGUUAGCGGCGGACGGGUGAGUAACACGUGGGUAACCUGCCUGUAAGACUGGGAUAACUCCGGGAAACCGGGGCUAAUACCGGAUGCUUGAUUGAACCGCAUGGUUCAAUUAUAAAAGGUGGCUUUUAGCUACCACUUACAGAUGGACCCGCGGCGCAUUAGCUAGUUGGUGAGGUAACGGCUCACCAAGGCAACGAUGCGUAGCCGACCUGAGAGGGUGAUCGGCCACACUGGGACUGAGACACGGCCCAGACUCCUACGGGAGGCAGCAGUAGGGAAUCUUCCGCAAUGGACGAAAGUCUGACGGAGCAACGCCGCGUGAGUGAUGAAGGUUUUCGGAUCGUAAAACUCUGUUGUUAGGGAAGAACAAGUACCGUUCGAAUAGGGCGGUACCUUGACGGUACCUAACCAGAAAGCCACGGCUAACUACGUGCCAGCAGCCGCGGUAAUACGUAGGUGGCAAGCGUUGUCCGGAAUUAUUGGGCGUAAAGCGCGCGCAGGCGGUUUCUUAAGUCUGAUGUGAAAGCCCCCGGCUCAACCGGGGAGGGUCAUUGGAAACUGGGGAACUUGAGUGCAGAAGAGGAGAGUGGAAUUCCACGUGUAGCGGUGAAAUGCGUAGAGAUGUGGAGGAACACCAGUGGCGAAGGCGACUCUCUGGUCUGUAACUGACGCUGAGGCGCGAAAGCGUGGGGAGCGAACAGGAUUAGAUACCCUGGUAGUCCACGCCGUAAACGAUGAGUGCUAAGUGUUAGAGGGUUUCCGCCCUUUAGUGCUGCAGCAAACGCAUUAAGCACUCCGCCUGGGGAGUACGGUCGCAAGACUGAAACUCAAAGGAAUUGACGGGGGCCCGCACAAGCGGUGGAGCAUGUGGUUUAAUUCGAAGCAACGCGAAGAACCUUACCAGGUCUUGACAUCCUCUGACAACCCUAGAGAUAGGGCUUCCCCUUCGGGGGCAGAGUGACAGGUGGUGCAUGGUUGUCGUCAGCUCGUGUCGUGAGAUGUUGGGUUAAGUCCCGCAACGAGCGCAACCCUUGAUCUUAGUUGCCAGCAUUCAGUUGGGCACUCUAAGGUGACUGCCGGUGACAAACCGGAGGAAGGUGGGGAUGACGUCAAAUCAUCAUGCCCCUUAUGACCUGGGCUACACACGUGCUACAAUGGGCAGAACAAAGGGCAGCGAAGCCGCGAGGCUAAGCCAAUCCCACAAAUCUGUUCUCAGUUCGGAUCGCAGUCUGCAACUCGACUGCGUGAAGCUGGAAUCGCU
rnacentral:rRNA from 1 species